AUUAGUUAACCUUGCAACGGGACAGGGUGAACCCCGCCAGGUCCGGAAGGAAGCAACGGUAAGCCUGCCGUCUCGGGUGCAAGGUCUUAAUAUGA
rnacentral:SRP_RNA from 1 species